CAGUCGCCGCGGUAAUGCGAAGGGGGCUAGCGUUGUUCGGAAUCACUGGGCGUAAAGCGCACGUAGGCGGAUACUUAAGUCAGGGGUGAAAUCCCGGGGCUCAACCUCGGAACUGCCUUUGAUACUGGGUAUCUUGAGUCCGGGAGAGGUUGGUGGAACUCCGAGUGUAGAGGUGAAAUUCGUAGAUAUUCGGAAGAACACCAGUGGCGAAGGCGGCCAACUGGCCCGGUACUGACGCUGAGGUGCGAAAGCGUGGGGAGCAAACAGGAUUAGAUACCCGCGUAGUCCCUGUCUCUUAUAU
rnacentral:rRNA from 1 species